rnacentral:lncRNA from 1 species
CUUAUUGUCAUUUUCAAUUUAUAAGAAUUAAAAAUAUAUCUAAAUAUUCAAAUAUGUAAAAUAGAUAAUUGCAACAGAAUACAAUCGUAAUUUUUGUUUUGUUUAUUUCAGCUGAUGAAAUUGAUGAAAUUGAUGAGAUGCUUUUUGUUGUUAAACCACCUAAAACUAUUUGCCGCAAUGUGCACAAAUACAGAAUUUCAUUAGCAAUAGUAAACAGAAUGAAUUCGGGGUAAUGUGUUCAAUUUUUUUUUUGGUAUUUCAUCCUUCUUUAUGAUUUAUAAAAAAAUCAGGGUCUAAAAAGAAUAUUUUUGGAGAUGUUUUUUUAUUGAGGAAUGUUUUUCGUUGUACGUCGUUAGUUAAGGGCAUACGUGACAGGUUCAGAGGAGGUAAUGACGUUGCUAACGUAAAAUGUUAUUUUCGCUACGUCAAACUGUGACAAAUAAGGAAAAGAUUCAUUUUUCGACUGAUUUUUUCAUUCCAACUGAUUUGAUUUGUAAACGAGUUCGUGGACUCCUCUUUUUUACAUUCGGUUUGAUUACAUAUGCAGAUUAUUUGAACCAAAUUGCACGAAAAAGUCAAUGAUGCAAUUUUUUUUAAAUUCAAUAAAUAUGCAGCAAAAAAAUUAUACGUUUUUUUCUACAUUCUUGAGCAUUUGAUUAAGCAAAAUAUUUCAUAAAUAUAGGAUACUUAUAUCUCACAGAACUUAUAAAUAAUUUAAAUAAAACAGCAUGACGUCUUUAUCUUUUAAAAAAAAUCAUUUCUAUCUAGUGGAAAAAUACGUCCACAAAUCCGAAUUUUGAGCAAAUAUCUGCAAUUUCGACCUCAUUUUACUCAAAAAGUAGCACAUGAAGAUAUAUUUUUUAUUACAUAUUUGAUUUCAGCAGGCAAAAGAUGGCCUAUAUAUCGUAAGGGGAAAAAUUCUCACCGUCAGAAAUAAACUGUUGGAUAUGCACUUAAUACUAUUUCUCACCAUUAUUUUCGUUAUGGCAAGUGGUCAAUAGUUUACAUUGUCUAUACCAGAAGAUGCCCGCGAAAUCGCGAUACAAUUAGUCAAGUGCAGGGGCGGAUCCAGCUAUUUUUAAAAGGAAGGGUUUCAACUGUUUGUCCCCUUUUAAAUGCAUAAAUCGUCAGAAAAGGAGUGUUCCAACCACUAAAACCCAUCCUUGAUACGAAAAUUAAGUCUGAAAACAAACAAAAAUCGUAGGGAGUACUUCGACUGUGCGCAAAAGUGACCGAUAACGGUCUCCGCGGAAUUUGGAUAUUUCUAAAACAUUGCGGUUUGUUUUUAGGAACAAAAAUAGUUUCAAAGACAAAUCUAGGAUGUACAAUAAUUGUCAAAGGUACAAGGGUU